rnacentral:lncRNA from 1 species
UAUUGCAAAGAAGAUGAGGUUUGCUUGUACCAGUCAUUGACCUUUGAAGUACCAUUUCAAGAGGUAAAUCCAGAUUCUGCCCCUGCCAUGAUCUCACUUCCUUUUGAUGUGAAGCCAAAAACAUCACCAACUAGCUUACAGAUUCCGGCUAGGACGUGAUUGAUUCAUCGUGAGAAUACAUAUUACUUAAUCAUGAUUACGUGAUAAAUGAAGAGCAACUUUCACAUAUAGCAAACAUAAAAAUCAUAUUUGUAUGUUAUAGUUAUAGUUUGCAUAAUUGCGCUUCAUAGUAAAUUUUAUGUUUGCUAUGGAGCUUUUGAUUUGUAUAAUUCGCUACAAACAUUCAAUUUUAUACAAAUUGUUCAGUUUUGUAUAAAUUCAUUUAUACAUUGUAAUUUGUAUAAUUAUAAGUGUAUAGGACGAAAAUAUAAAUGAAUGUAUAUUAGAAUGACACAUCACCUUUGUGGUUCACAUUCAAUUCAAGAUAUUAAAAAGAAAUUGAUACUGUUUAGUAGAUGUCAUAAUCAUGAAUCAUUAAUUGCAUGAUAAGCAAAGGAUAAAGGAAAGAGAGUCACUCGUGUGCGUGCACUUGUCUUUUAAUGGUCGGAUGAUGAUUGCUGCCACUGCUUUUAUUUGUUUUAAAGACCUUUGGUUAGUCUUUAAUUUAUCAUAUAA